rnacentral:rRNA from 1 species
AUUGAAUGCUGGCGGCAUGCUUACACAUGCAAGUCGAACGGCAGCACGGGAGCAAUCCUGUGGCGAGUGGCGAACGGGUGAGUAAUAUAUCGGAACGUGCCCAGUCGUGGGGGAUAACGUAGCGAAAGCUACGCUAAUACCGCAUACGAUCUAUGGAUGAAAGCGGGGGAUCGCAAGACCUCGCGCGAUUGGAGCGGCCGAUAUCAGAUUAGGUAGUUGGUGAGGUAAAGGCUCACCAAGCCGACGAUCUGUAGCUGGUCUGAGAGGACGACCAGCCACACUGGGACUGAGACACGGCCCAGACUCCUACGGGAGGCAGCAGUGGGGAAUUUUGGACAAUGGGCGCAAGCCUGAUCCAGCAAUGCCGCGUGCAGGAUGAAGGCCUUCGGGUUGUAAACUGCUUUGUACGGAACGAAACGGUGAGCUCUAAUACAGUUUGCUAAUGACGGUACCGUAAGAAUAAGCACCGGCUAACUACGUG